UCGAGAAUAUUCCACAAUGGACGAAAGUCUGAUGGAGCGACGCCGCGUGCAGGAAGAAGGCCUUCGGGUUGUAAACUGCGGUAGCAGGGGAGGAACUUCGGUGACUGUACCCUGCGGAAAGAGGUGGGUAACUACGUGCCAGCACCAGCGGUAAUACGUAGACCUCAAGCGUUAUCCGGAUUUAUUGGGCGUAAAGCGUGUGUAGGGGGUCUUAAAAGUCAAACGUUAAAUUCCAGGGCCUAACCUUGGAACCGCGCUUGAUACUCUAAGACUUGAGGAUGCUAGAGGUGAACGGAACGCACGGUGUAGGGGUGACAUCCGUUGAUAUUGUGCGGAACACCAAAGGCGAAGGCAGUUCACUGGGGCAUUCCUGACCCUGAGACACGAAAGCGUGGGGAGCAAAAAGGAUUAGAUACCCCCGUAGUCC
rnacentral:rRNA from 1 species